AAGCAAGUGGGAUGCAGAAGGCAUCUGCUUCCAGUCUUCUGAUGUACCUCGAGGACCUAUGUCUGGAGAAAUUGGGUGAAACAAGGAUAUGAGAAUCAGCACUUGCGGAAAUGAGGACAGCAAAAUAAACAUUGUACCUUGAGAUGCAGAAUUACUGAAGCUUCAUUUCUUAUGGAUUUGGGUUCUUCGUUUCCCUACUGCCUCACCAGUCAAUCCCUGUUCUGAGGAUCAAACCUGUAUUUCCUCUGUGUGCUUCAAGAAGGUAUAUUAGCGUGGUUGAGUGUCAGCAUCGCUCAGCUGGAUCUGUUGAAGAUACCAGUGUUUGGGAUUUGGCCCAUGACAGCACUGAUCUGUUCUUUUUAAAUCUAAUCCUUUGUGCGUCUCCCCUGCUCAUCAUGGAAAUCUGGGCUGACUUAACCGCAUACUUAUUUCAAAGUGUACAAGUCACACAAUCAGACACUGACUUUUGGAGAGCGUUUGCUACCCUGUUUACCAGGAUUUUGUUGAAGAGCCCUUGAGAUAAGUAUGAGAGGUGCAGUCACAGGUGAAAUCUCUCUUUUCUUUAGCUACCUAUAGACCACUAUAAUCUAUUUUUGUUUGAAACAGCAGCAGCCCAAAAGGUGACGCUUCUGUGAAGGCUCCCUUGAGGGGGGAGGCAGCGACGGGGGACAUAAAUACUCUUCUGAUGUUUUUUAGAAAUACAGUUGUACCCAGAGAAUCGGUACUUUACUCCUGUUCUGCAACACAUAAAUACACAUCAGACGUGUGGUAAACCAAAGCCUCUCAGGAGCUUGUCCUGAAAGAGGAAAAGACACAAUGAUUUAGAGUCUACAUCUGCAGCUCUUGCAGCUGCUUCAGUCCCCGCUGCCGGAGGAGAAUUCCCUGCAUCGACGGCCUCUUGACGCAGGGGCUUAGAGCAGUUCCCGAAGAAAAAGCCCACGGGAACCUAACGCUGUUGCUAACCCGUUGGAAAGGCGAGGAGGGGACAGCCACCGUGCGGCUCGAAGGAAAGCGGUUGCUCCUGCCAUUAGAUCCCCAUCUUGGGUCACCUCUAGUACCGCUUUGCAAGCGGACGGGGACUCCCCGACGGCUGCGACUCUUGUCGCAUUCUCCAACAUCUGUUGAGAGCAGGAUUAGACUAGGUAGCUUCCUAAACCAAAGGGAAGGUCAGCGUGGUAGGGCGCUGGCAUGGCGCACCUUUGUACUCAGGCUUGCAGGAGUUGCUGAAGGGAGUGCUUGGCCGUGAAGGCCUGCUGGAAUGUCUCGAGUCAUGGGAAAACACAUGGGGGACAUCUCUGUAACGAGGCAGCUGAAGAUGUGAGGAUGUUCCGGAGCAAAGACUUGCACAACCCCUGUGUUUUGACGUUACCCUUCUCGUCGAGAGACGGGGAAUAUAGCAGCUCCAGCUACUGCGGCAGUGCAGUGUGACUCCUUGCAGUCUACGUGUAAAAAAACAUCUUCUUACACCGAAGAGCAAGAAGAGAGACCAGCAAGGUAGGCUGGCAACUACUGGGAGUCUGGGAGACAGGCGUUCAGCUCCCUGCUUCCUCUGCUGCAAGGAAAAUAGACAGGACUGGAUCCUAAAGUUUUCAAUUCUAGAGAAGAGUGUUUACCCGCUUGUUGAUUAAUUGAUGGUUGUAUUCCCCUGCUGUAAUCAGAGCGCAGUUUCCAGAAGUUCACUAGCAGCAAGGAUCAACGAGAAGCUCGCAGGAGCUGGCAGCCUGGGAGGAGAUGUCACCGCAUAGCUCGCUGUCCUCGAGAGCCGCUCCGGAGGACGGCUGAGGUCCGCGGAGAGGCCGCGGAGGCCCCAAACGGUCUGACGUCUGGCCCUAAAAUAAGAGGCAGCAACGUCGGUGGGGAAGGCAGGCUUAUACUGAUAGCAAGAACGAGAAGGGGCUGCUGCCAGUUGGCUCGUCGACGCUUGAAGCGCGCCGGUGGUGGGAGAGGCGCAGAUGUCUGACAGCAGAAACAACAUCUUCCCAGCGCCGUCUGCACGAGGCGCUGCUCUCGCCAGAUCUCGGGGCUGCAUCUUCCCUCGGUGCCCCGGCGAAAGUCUCGGAAACCAAGGCAGCUACUGCGGGGCCAGAACCGGUCCCAAGGGUCACUUCUUGCUUUUCCCUUUCGCGGGCUGCGUAGGCAGUCCGCAACGUGAGCGUCAGGGUAGGCUCGAGGCCGCUCGUGCCUGACGGUGCGGUGCGUUUCUCAGGCCAUUUUAAAAUGGUUUUUUUGCUACCUAUCAGGCCACCGGACUGGCAGAAACUAUUUCUCCCCUCCCUUCAAGAGCAAUGGUUUCCUGCUGUUAAUCCAAACCAUAAUAAAACCUUAAAUAUAUACUGUGAAAAAUGUUAUGCCUACUUAAGCAAGAUAGUUGCCUGUAAUAGUGUGCCAUAAAGCAAUCUGAAAUGUUUAUUGUCUGUUCCCCAACUGCAGUUUUAUUUCUUUUCAGCAGUUUUUGUGUCUACAGGAUUUUCUUCACUUUGGAAGUUUCAGAAGAAGUUUUUCCCUUUCCCUGAACACACAGUGAUUAUUUGCACAGGAGAUCCUCCUGCCAGUGCAGAUAUGUGCAAGCAUUUUUUUCAAAACUUCCAGUUUCCUAAACUUUUUCUGGGGAAAAAAACAUUGUUUAAAUCAAUAGCAAGCCUUGAUAUGAUAGGCUUUAAAGGGCAGCCUGACUUCCAAAGGAGCAGAUAACAUUAAACAAGAUCUCUUUUGUAAAGGCUGAAAUAGAAAAUUAGGAAAAGAAAAGAAAAAAAGGAAAGAAAGGAAAGAAGGGAAAAAAAAAAAAAACAGCCAAGGUUAGGGGGUGGUAAAGAUGUUGCUGCUGGAUCUAGCUCCAGAGACACAAUGUGUAUUUCAUUGCCACGAAUAAACUGUAUCUAGGGAACAACCAAAUGAAAAAGUGAGGACAGGAGAUAUCUUAUUUUUGUUGUUUGUUUCCAAAGAGUCCACCCCCACAUAGGUCACUUGGAAUUCAUUUGUCUACAUCCUGGACUGCACGUAGGGGAAAAAAAAAAUGCCUGGGAUCUGAGAAAGAGGAAUGCGAUAGGGCAUGGGAAUCACAGCGUCACGGUGGUCACCAGAGCAUAGUUUGGCUCGUCUUAAAACAAGCAAGCACCGUUGGACCUCUGUAAUACUAGCAAAUCGGCCGUGCUAUCAGGCUACCUAUCAGAGGCUGAAUGCUUGAGAAAAAGUGUGUGGGUUUUUAGACAGAGCCUGGGGCGUUGGAGGG